rnacentral:rRNA from 1 species
ACGAACGCUGGCGGCGUGCUUAACACAUGCAAGUCGAACGGUGAAGCGCCUUCCUUUUUGGUGGGUGUGGAUGAGUGGCGAACGGGUGAGUAACACGUGAGUAACCUGCCCCCUUCUUCUGGAUAACCGCAUGAAAGUGUGGCUAAUACGGGAUAUUCUGGGUCUGUCGCAUGAUGGGUCUGGGAAAGAUAUUGUUUCGGUGGGGGAUGGGCUCGCGGCCUAUCAGCUUGUUGGUGGGGUGAUGGCCUACCAAGGCGGUGACGGGUAGCCGGCCUGAGAGGGUGGACGGUCACACUGGGACUGAGACACGGCCCAGACUCCUACGGGAGGCAGCAGUGGGGAAUAUUGCACAAUGGGCGCAAGCCUGAUGCAGCGACGCCGCGUGAGGGAUGGAGGCCUUCGGGUUGUGAACCUCUUUCGCCAGUGAAGCAGGCCUGCCUCGUUUGUGGGUGGGUUGACGGUAGCUGGAUAAGAGGCGCCGGCUAACUACGUG